rnacentral:rRNA from 1 species
UUUUUCACAACCCCGAAUUUCACUUCCUUGUGAAGAGGCAAGGAUAAAAUCGUUAGACGAGAAGACCCUGUCGAGCUUAUAGCAAAAGUUUAGCCUCUACCAUAUUUAAGCUGCCCUAAUUUUUGAUGAUAGGCAAAAUAAAUUUUGGGGGACUAACCAAAGCUUUGGUUGGGGCAACCGCGGAGCAGGAAAAACCUCCGCUAAUACAAUAAACAAUUAAAGUAAGAACAACAAUUCUAAAAUCAAAAAUGAAAGAGUGAUCCACUUAGGUGACCAAAGGAACAAGUUACCGCA